rnacentral:rRNA from 1 species
CAUGGCUCAGGACGAACGCUGGCGGCGUGCCUAAUACAUGCAAGUCGAGCGGACAGAUGGGAGCUUGCUCCCUGAUGUUAGCGGCGGACGGGUGAGUAACACGUGGGUAACCUGCCUGUAAGACUGGGAUAACUCCGGGAAACCGGGGCUAAUACCGGAUGGUUGUUUGAACCGCAUGGUUCAGACAUAAAAGGUGGCUUCGGCUACCACUUACAGAUGGACCCGCGGCGCAUUAGCUAGUUGGUGAGGUAACGGCUCACCAAGGCGACGAUGCGUAGCCGACCUGAGAGGGUGAUCGGCCACACUGGGACUGAGACACGGCCCAGACUCCUACGGGAGGCAGCAGUAGGGAAUCUUCCGCAAUGGACGAAAGUCUGACGGAGCAACGCCGCGUGAGUGAUGAAGGUUUUCGGAUCGUAAAGCUCUGUUGUUAGGGAAGAACAAGUGCCGUUCAAAUAGGGCGGCACCUUGACGGUACCUAACCAGAAAGCCACGGCUAACUACGUGCCAGCAGCCGCGGUAAUACGUAGGUGGCAAGCGUUGUCCGGAAUUAUUGGGCGUAAAGGGCUCGCAGGCGGUUUCUUAAGUCUGAUGUGAAAGCCCCCGGCUCAACCGGGGAGGGUCAUUGGAAACUGGGGAACUUGAGUGCAGAAGAGGAGAGUGGAAUUCCACGUGUAGCGGUGAAAUGCGUAGAGAUGUGGAGGAACACCAGUGGCGAAGGCGACUCUCUGGUCUGUAACUGACGCUGA